rnacentral:rRNA from 1 species
UUGAACGCUGGCGGCAGGCCUAACACAUGCACGUCGAGCGGAUGAAGGGAGCUUGCUCCUGGAUUCAGCGGCGGACGGGUGAGUAAUGCCUAGGAAUCUGCCUGGUAGUGGGGGAUAACGUCCGGAAACGGGCGCUAAUACCGCAUACGUCCUGAGGGAGAAAGUGGGGGAUCUUCGGACCUCACGCUAUCAGAUGAGCCUAGGUCGGAUUAGCUAGUUGGUGGGGUAAAGGCCUACCAAGGCGACGAUCCGUAACUGGUCUGAGAGGAUGAUCAGUCACACUGGAACUGAGACACGGUCCAGACUCCUACGGGAGGCAGCAGUGGGGAAUAUUGGACAAUGGGCGAAAGCCUGAUCCAGCCAUGCCGCGUGUGUGAAGAAGGUCUCCGGAUUGUAAAGCACUUUAAGUUGGGAGGAAGGGCAGUAAGUUAAUACCUUGCUGUUUUGACGUUACCAACAGAAUAAGCACCGGCUAACUUCGUG